GGUUGAUCCUGCCAGUAGUCAUAUGCUUGUCUCAAAGAUUAAGCCAUGCAUGUCUAAGUAUAAACAAUUCUAUACUGUGAAACUGCGAAUGGCUCAUUAAAUCAGUUAUAGUUUAUUUGAUAAUACCUUACUACUUGGAUAACCGUGGUAAUUCUAGAGCUAAUACAUGCAUCAAAACCCGACUUCUGGAAGGGUUGUAUUUAUUAGAUAAAAAACCAACCCGGGCAACCGGUUCUCUGGUGAUUCAUAGUAACUUGUCGAAUCGCAUGGUCUCGUACCGGCGAUGUUUCAUU
rnacentral:rRNA from 1 species